CACAUGAUAACGCUUGGAUUGCCCAUUCGGGCAACACCGAAGCCCCUUCCCUACCCCCCCCACGCCACACAACGAUAUCCGUAUCGCGUAUACUGAGCAUCAUUGCUGCCACAACCGCCAUCACCGUCACGACGGCGCCUGCUCUCCGUUGCCUCGCGCCCGCUUCCCAAAAAGCCGGUCCGCUGCACCUCUCACAUCAGCGAUCACCGCUGUCGCUCGCGCACCUGCGUUGAGCUGAUUCUCAUGCUCCCUCUUCUGCUGCCAUGCUUGGGGAGGGGGAGGUCACGGGCGUUGGCCGCUGAACAUCGUCGCCGUCAUGGUCUACGUGAAGUAAGCUGCUUGUCCUCCGAGCACACGUAGCGAGCAUAGACCCAUUCAACAGCUGAAGGGCCGAAGGGCGUCACGCACACGUACGGCUCGAUGAGCACGGUCGGCUGCGCAUCGUCAGCCGCAUCAAGUCGCUGGCGAAGAACGCCCUAGGUGAGUACAUCCCGAUGGAGAACCUGGAGUCCCUGUACGCGCAGGUGAGCCUGUGCGUGCCGAACGGCGUGUGCGUCGUUGUCCACGCUGCCAAGUACUACGUCUGUGCCAUCGCGUGCACGACGGAGAGCAAGGCGAUGGUGUUCGCGCGGCAGCACGACAUCCAGUGUGAGUGGCCGCCAUGCCAAAAGUGGUAUGCGGCGCGUCGGGUGAUCACUGGACGACGGAGGAGCGAGAUCGUCUACGACGGCUAAACAAGCGAAGGGAAGGGUGCUGCUCACCGUGUGGUUGUACGGCAUGCGAAGCAGAACAGACCGAGAGAGAACAAGGGCGGUGGGGGGUAUGGGGAGGGGAAAGAGGGGGCUGACGGCGAUGUGGGCCGGCACGACGAGGCUCAUUAUGAUCCGUGGCGAUGUCUCCGCCGGCCCCCGCCCCGCUCGAAGGCCACACCACACUGCGGCAACGACCUCAUGUCCUUCUUCCUCCCUCCCCCCCCACCUCUCUUUGUUGUUUGCAGCCGCAGAAGCCAGCUGGGAGCGGCCAAGGUGAAGGGGUCGGCGUUGGCUCGCGUGCGGCGGUCUUACAGGAAGCUCUACCGAAAGCAGCAGCCGCAGUCGCGGUUGUUAGCUGUGGUGACUGUCCCCCUCCUCCACCCCCUACCUGGGCACUUCCUGUUGCUCGUCCAUUCCACCAGGAAUGGACGGCGGAUGUGAGCGCCUUCGCCUGG
rnacentral:misc_RNA from 1 species